GGAUAACUUACCCUUAGGACUGGGAUAACUCUGGGAAACUGGGGAUAAUACUGGAUAUUAGGCUAUGCCUGGAAUGGUUUGCCUUUGAAAUGUUUUUUUUCACCUAAGGAUAGGUCUGCGGCUGAUUAGGUCGUUGGUGGGGUAAUGGCCCACCAAGCCGAUGAUCGGUACGGGUUGUGAGAGCAAGGGCCCGGAGAUGGAACCUGAGACAAGGUUCCAGACCCUACGGGGUGCAGCAGGCGCGAAACCUCCGCAAUGUACGAAAGUGCGACGGGGGGAUCCCAAGUGUUAUGCUUUUUUGUAUGACUUUUCAUUAGUGUAAAAAGCUUUUAGAAUAAGAGCUGGGCAAGACCGGUGCCAGCCGCCGCGGUAACACCGGCAGCUCGAGUGGUAGCUGUUUUUAUUGGGCCUAAAGCGUUCGUAGCCGGUUUGAUAAGUCUUUGGUGAAAGCUUGUAGCUUAACUAUAAGAAUUGCUGGAGAUACUAUUAGACUUGAAGUCGGGAGAGGUUAGAGGUACUACCGGGGUAGGGGUGAAAUCCUAUAAUCCUGGGAGGACCACCUGUGGCGAAGGCGUCUAACUGGAACGAUCUUGACGGUGAGUAACGAAAGCCAGGGGCGCGAACCGGAUUAGAUACCCGGGUAGUCCUGGCCGUAAACGAUGUGGACUUGGUGUUGGAAUGGCUUUGAGUUGUUCCG
rnacentral:rRNA from 1 species